rnacentral:rRNA from 1 species
UACAGAGGGUGCGAGCGUUAAUCGGAAUUACUGGGCGUAAAGCGCACGUAGUCGGCUUUGCAAGUCGGGUGUGAAAUCCCCGGGCUCAACCUGGGAACUGCAUCCGAAACUGCCUUGCUCGAGUAUGGGAGAGGGAAGUGGAAUUUCCGGUGUAGCGGUGAAAUGCGUAGAUAUCGGAAGGAACAUCAGUGGCGAAGGCGACUUCCUGGACCAAUACUGACGCUCAGGUGCGAAAGCGUGGGGAGCAAACAGG